rnacentral:ncRNA from 1 species
UGGUCCCAGCCUUAAAAUCAAUUGUUUCAUAACUUACACAUGCAAGUCUCCGCACACCCGUGAAAACGCCCUUUUACCUUCAUAAGAUUAAGGAGCCGAUAUCAGGCGUCUCAUUAUACCCAAGACAUCUAGCCACGCCACGCCCCCAAGGGUAGUCAGCAGUGAUUAAUAUUAAAAAUUAACGUCAGUUUGAUUUAGUUAAUGAAAAUAGAGCAGGCCAACCUGGUGCCAGCCGCCGCGGUUACACCAUGCGGCUCAAAUUGAUCUCUACCGGCGUAAAGCGUGAUUAAAGAUACCCACCAUAACUGAGGUUAAACUUAAACUAAGCUGUAAAAUUCUUGUUAUCAGGAAACCCAAACCCGAAAGAUACCUCACCACCUUUCUUGAACUCACGAUAACUGGGACAUAAACUGGGAUUAGAUACCCCAUUAUACCCAGUCAUAAACUUUAACUUACACCACAAUCGCCAGGGAACUACGAGCAAAGCUUAAAACCCAAGAGACUUGACGGCACCCCACAUCCAUCUAGAGGAGCCUGUCCUAUAAUCGAUAAUCCCCGUUCAACCUCACCACCCUUAGUCUAUCAGUCUGUAUACUUCCGUCGUCAGCUUACCACCUGAGUGUGACCCAGUGAGCUCAAUGUUCUUUCACCAAUACGUCAGGUCAAAGUGCAGCAAAUAGGGUGGGAAAAGAUGGGCUACACUUUCUAUCUUAGAAAAUACGAAAGAUCCUAUGAAACAACAUCAGAAGGCGGAUUUAGCAGUAAGUAAGAAAUAGAACACCUCACUUAAUUAGGCACCAGGGUGUGUACACACCGCCCGUCACCCUCUUCAAUAAUUCUAACUUAGUAUAUAACAACUUCUAUUAACUAGAAGAGGUAAGUCGUAACAUGGUAAGUAUACCGGAAGGUGUACUUGGAAGA